UACAGAGGGUGCAAGCGUUGUUCGGAAUUACUGGGCGUAAAGCGCGUGUAGGCGGUCCAGCAAGUCGGGUGUGAAAGCCCUAGGCUUAACCUAGGAACUGCAUUCGAAGCUACUGGACUCGAGUGUCGGAGGGGAUGGCGGAAUUCCCGGUGUAGAGGUGAAAUUCGUAGAUAUCGGGAGGAACACCUGUGGCGAAGGCGGGUCUCUGGGCCGAUACUGACGCUGAGGAGCGAAAGCGUGGGGAGCAAACAGG
rnacentral:rRNA from 1 species